rnacentral:rRNA from 1 species
UCGGGAAUUUUGGGCAAUGGGCGAAAGCCUGACCCAGCAACGCCGCGUGAGGGAUGAAGUAUUUCGGUAUGUAAACCCCGAAAGAAUGGGAAGAAUAAAUGACGGUACCAUUUAUAAGCUCCGGCUAACUACGUGCCAGCAGCCGCGGUAGUACGUAGGGAGCAAGCGUUGUUCGGAUUUACCGGGCGUAAAGGGCGCGUAGGCGGCGCGGUAAGUCACUUGUGAAAUCUCUGAGCUUAACUCAGAACGGCCAAGUGAUACUGCUGUGCUAGAGUGCGGAAGAGGCCACCGGAAUUCUUGGUGUAGCGGUGAAAUGCGUAGAUAUCAAGAGGAACACCUGAGGCGAAGGCGGGUUGCUGGGCCGACACUGACGCUGAUGCGCGAAAGCCAGG